UACAGAGGGUGCGAGCGUUGUCCGGAAUCACUGGGCGUAAAGAGCGUGUAGGCGGCUAGGUAGGUCCGUUGUGAAAACUCGAGGCUCAACCUCGAGACGCCGGUGGGAACCAUCUAGCUAGAGUCCGGAAGAGGAGAGUGGAAUUCCUGGUGUAGCGGUGAAAUGCGCAGAUAUCAGGAAGAACACCCGUGGCGAAGGCGGCUCUCUGGGACGUGACUGACGCUGAGACGCGAAAGCGUGGGGAGCGAACAGG
rnacentral:rRNA from 1 species